AUUGAACGCUGGCGGCAUGCCUUACACAUGCAAGUCGAACGGCAGCACGGGAGCAAUCCUGGUGGCGAGUGGCGAACGGGUGAGUAAUAUAUCGGAACGUGCCCAGUCGGGGGGGAUAACGCAGCGAAAGCUGUGCUAAUACCGCAUACGAUCUACGGAUGAAAGCGGGGGAUCGCAAGACCUCGCGCGAUUGGAGCGGCCGAUAUCAGAUUAGCUAGUUGGUGGGGUAAAGGCUCACCAAGGCGAUGAUCUGUAGCUGGUCUGAGAGGACGACCAGCCACACUGGAACUGAGACACGGUCCAGACUCCUACGGGAGGCAGCAGUGGGGAAUUUUGGACAAUGGGCGCAAGCCUGAUUCAGCAAUGCCGCGUGCAGGAUGAAGGCCUUCGGGUUGUAAACUGCUUUUGUACGGAGCGAAACGGUCUUUCCUAAUACGAGAGGCUAAUGACGGUACCGUAAGAAUAAGCACCGGCUAACUACGUGCCAGCCGCCGCCGUAA
rnacentral:rRNA from 1 species